rnacentral:rRNA from 1 species
AGCUUGGGUAUCGAACAGGAUUAGAUACCCUGGUAGUCCACGCAGUAAACGAUGCUCACUCGCUGUUGGCAAUAGAUCGUCAGCGGCUAAGGGAAACCGAUAAGUGAGCCACCUGGGGAGUACGAUCGCAAGAUUGAAACUCAAAGGAAUUGACGGGGGCCCGCACAAGCGGUGGAACAUGUGGUUUAAUUCGAUGAUACGCGAGGAACCUUACCUGGGCUUAAAUGUACGAUGCAUAAGUGUGAAAGCACUUUUUCCUUCGGGACUUUGUACAAGGUGCUGCAUGGUUGUCGUCAGCUCGUGCCGUGAGGUGUCGGGUUAAGUCCCAUAACGAGCGCAACCCCUAUUGUUAGUUACCAGCGCGUAAAGGCGGGGACUCUAGCGAAACUGCCGGUGUAAACCGCGAGGAAGGUGGGGAUGACGUCAAAUCAGCACGGCCCUUAUGUCCAGGGCUACACACGUGUUACAAUGGCCGGUACAGCGGGCAGCGAGGCAGCGAUGCCGAGCGAAUCUCGAAAGCCGGUCCCAGUUCGGAUUGGAGUCUGCAACCCGACUCCAUGAAGGUGGAAUCGCUAGUAAUCGNCAUCACCCAUGGCGCGCUGAUACGUUCCCGGGCAUUGUACACACCGCCCGUCAAGCCAUGAAGUCUGGGGUGCCUGAAGCCGUAACCGCGAGGA